GCCUGACGGAGCAUGCCGCGUGUGGGAUGAAGCGGUUUCGCCGUGUAAACCACUGUCAGGGGAUGGAAAAGAUGAUCAUCUCCAGAGGAAGGGGCGACUAACUCUGUGCCAGCAGUCGCGGUAAGACAGAGGCCCCGAGCGUUAGUCGGAAUUACUGGGCUUAAAGGGUGCGUAGGCGGGCGUGAAAGUGUUCUGUGAAAUCCCCGGGCUCAACCCGGGAACCGCAGGGCAUACUCCACGUCUCGAGGAAGCUAGAGGCCGGCGGAACGAUCGGUGGAGCGGUGGAAUGCGUAGAGAUCGAUCGGAACGCCAAGGGUGAAGACAGCCGGCUGGGGCUUUCCUGACGCUGAGGCACGAAAGCGCGGGGAUCAAACAGGAUUAGAUACCCUGGUAGUCCGCGCCCUAAACGAUGCGCACUAGAUCGGUGCCGGUUUCACCCGGUAUUGGUCGUAGAGAAAUUGCUAAGUGCGCCGCCUGGGGAGUACGGUCGCAAGGCUAAAACUCAAAGAAAUUGACGGGGGC
rnacentral:rRNA from 1 species